rnacentral:rRNA from 1 species
AUUGAACGCUGGCGGCAGGCCUAACACAUGCAAGUCGAGCGAGCGGCGGACGGGUGAGUAAUGCCUGGGAAUUGCCCAGUCGAGGGGGAUAACAGUUGGAAACGACUGCUAAUACCGCAUACGAUUUGAUUGCCCAGGUUGGAUUAGCUAGUUGGUGAGGUAAUGGCUCACCAUGGCGACGAUCACUAGCUGGUCUGAGCGGAUGAUCAGCCCAAUGGGAACGGAGACCGGGUCCAGACUCCUACGAGAGGCAGAAGUGGGGAAUAUUGCACAAUGGGGGAAACCCUGAUGCAGCCAUGCCGCGUGUUUGAAGAAGGCCUUCGGGUUGUAAAGCACUUUCAGCGAGGAGGCGUUACUCGCAGAAGAAGCACCGGCUAACUCCGUGCCAGCAGCCGCGGUAAUUC